AAAAUGCUUCUGCAGCUCUAACUUGGAUACUACUCAGCACACUGUUUACUGAACCUUCUCCGUGCCUCAGGUACGGUUACGUCAGUUUCAACAUGUACAUUAAACAGGUUGUGAUUGAAGGUUUUAAGAGUUACAAAGAGCAAAUUGCAACAGAGCCUUUCAGUCCUAAAGUUAAUUGUGUUGUUGGUGCUAAUGGAUCCGGGAAGUCAAACUUUUUCCAUGCCAUUCGUUUUGUGUUGAGUGAUCUCUAUCAGAACCUACGCAAUGAGGAUCGACAUUCAUUACUCCAUGAAGGGGCUGGGCACCAGGUUGUAUCCGCGUUUGUGGAGAUUGUGUUUGACAAUUCAGACAACCGUAUUCCGGUUGACAAGGAGGAAGUGCGUUUGCGCCGGACUAUUGGUUUGAAGAAGGAUGAGUAUUUUUUAGAUGGAAAACACAUAACAAAAACUGAAGUGAUGAAUUUACUGGAAAGUGCUGGGUUCUCUCGCUCAAAUCCUUACUAUGUUGUGCAGCAAGGAAAGAUAUCAUCACUAACAUUGAUGAAAGACUCAGAACGACUGGAUUUAUUGAAAGAAAUUGGUGGUACUAGAGUUUAUGAGGAGCGGCGUCGUGAAAGUCUGAAAAUUAUGCAGGAAACUGGUAAUAAAAGAAAGCAAAUAAUUCAAGUUGUACAGUAUCUAGAUGAGAGGUUGAAGGAGUUGGAUGAGGAGAAAGAGGAACUACGGAAAUAUCAGCAGCUUGAUAAGCAGAGAAAAUCUUUGGAAUAUGCUAUUUAUAGCAAAGAAGUUCACGAUGCUCAACAAAAACUUAUGGAGAUAGAAGAAGCCCGAGCCAAGGUUUCUGAAACAUCUGCAAAAAAGUAUAAUGACGUGCUUGAUGCCCAUGAGAAAAUCAAAGAUUUAGAGAAUACAUUGAAAGAUGUUGCAAAAGAACUUCAAAACUCUAACAAAGAGAAAGAAAGUAUAGAAAAGAGACGAACAAAGGCUUUAAAGAAGCACACAGAGCUUGAGCUUGAUGUCAAGGACCUACAAGAGAAGAUUGCUGGAAAUAUUCGAGCAAAGGAAGAUGCUGCAAGACAACUGAAGAUACUUGAGAAGAACAUUCAAGAUUCAAAUGAUGAGCUGGAGAAAAUCAGACCUAAAUAUGAGGAACAAGUUAUGGAAGAAAAAGAAAUCACCAAGCGAAUAAUGGAGCGUGAGAAACAGCUCAGUAUACUCUACCAAAAGCAAGGGCGUGCAACCCAGUUUCCGAGUAAAGCUGCUCGUGACAAGUGGCUUCGCAAGGAGAUAGAAGAUCUUGAACGAGUGCUUUCCUCAAACUCAGGGCAGGAAAAAAUGCUCUUGGAGGAAAUUGGUCGUCUUAAAGGUGAACUGGAUGGCUGUGAUGAGACCAUUGAGAAAUGUAGAUCUCAGAUUACUACUUUGCAAUCUCACAUUGACCAGUCACGGCAAGGGUUUAAUAAAUAUAAAGUUCAAAGAGAUAAGUUGCAGGAUAAGAGGAAGUCCUUAUGGGACAAAGAAAAUACACUUACUGCUGAAAUUGAUAAGCUGAGAGCUGAAGUUGAGAAGGCUGAAAAGAGCCUUGAUCACGCAAUUCCCGGUGAUGUCAGAAGGGGGAUGAACUCAGUUCGGAAAAUCUGCAGGGAGUAUAACAUUUCUGGUGUUUAUGGUCCGAUCAUUGAGUUGCUGAGUUGUGAGGAGAAAUUCUUCACAGCAGUUGAAGUUACUGCAGGAAACAGCUUAUUCCAUGUGGUUGUUGAAAAUGAUGACACGUCAACCCAGAUAAUUAGACAUCUUAACGCACAUAAAGGUGGACGAGUUACAUUUAUCCCACUUAACAGAGUGAGGGCACCACGCAUUACUUAUCCCCAGAGUUCUGAUGUCAUCCCUCUCUUAAAGAAAUUGAAUUUUAAACAUGACUAUAACCCUGCAUUCAGUCAGGUAUUUGCCCGAACGGUUGUGUGCAAGAAUUUGGAUGUGGCUUCAAGGGUUGCCAGGACUGAUGGUCUUGACUGCAUAACACUGGAUGGUGAUCAAGUUAGCAAGAAAGGUAGUAUGACGGGAGGAUUUUAUGAUCACAGACGAUCAAAAUUGAAGUUUAUGAAUAUCAUUAAGCAAAAUGAAGAUGAAAUUCACUCAAAAGAGGAGGAAUUGAUGAAAGUUAGAUCUGACCUGCAAGAGAUAGACCAAAAGAUCACUGAACUUGUUUCCGAGCAGCAGAAGAUUGAGGCUGAGUGUGCUCAUGGAAAAUCAGAAAUGGAACAAUUUAAGCAGGACAUUGCAAAUGCUAACAAGCAGAAGCAAUUGAUUUCUAAGGCACUUUCAAAAAAGGAAAAGUCACUUCUUGAUGUCCAGAAUCAGAUUGAACAGCUUAAGGCUAGUAUGGCAAUGAAAACAGCCGAGAUGGGCACAGAACUAAUUGACCAUUUAACACCAGAGGAAAAGAAGCUUUUGUCUGAUUUGAAUCCCGAAAUCAAGGAACUUAAAGAGCAGCUUGUUGCAUGCAAGACUGAUCGUAUCGAGACGGAAGCACGGAAAGCGGAGUUGGAAACUAAUCUAACAACAAACCUGAGGAGAAGAAAGCAAGAGUUGGAAGCUGUAAUAUCAUCUGCUGAUGAUGACACUCUGGGUGUAGAUGCUGGAUUGAAGGCGCAGGAACUUAGUGAUGCUAAAUUGUUAGUUGAUGAAGCAACGGAGCAGCUUAGAAGAGUCUCUAAUAGUAUAAGUGCACGAUCAAAGGAAAUUAAACAGAUCAAAGAAGAAAUCAAUAAGUUGAAGUCUUUGGAGGAUGAGUAUGAAAGAAAACUUCAGGAGGAAACAAAAGAAUUAGAGCAGUUGCUGAGUAAAAAAAAUAUAUAUUCUGCUAAAGAAGAGGAAUAUACAAAGAAAAUAAGGGAACUGGGCCCAUUGACAUCAGAUGCAUUUGAGACGUACAAGAGGAGGAACAUCAAAGAAUUGCACAAAGUGUUGCACAGGUGCAAUGAUCAACUGCAGCAGUUCAGUCAUGUAAACAAGAAAGCGCUUGACCAGUAUAUAAAUUUUACAGAACAACGAGAGGAACUUCAGAAAAGGCAAGCUGAACUUGAUGCAGGAGAUGAGAAAAUUAGAGAGCUGAUAUCUGUACUUGAUCAACGGAAGGAUGAAUCAAUAGAGCGCACUUUCAAAGGUGUUGCUAGGCAUUUUCGAGAAGUGUUUUCUGAACUCGUACAGGGGGGUCAUGGUCAUCUGGUUAUGAUGAAGAAGAAGGAUGGUGGUCACGAUGAUGAUGAGGAUGAUGAGGAUGGUCCUCGUGAAGCAAACCCAGAGGGUAGAGUAGAAAAGUACAUUGGAGUGAAAGUGAAGGUUUCUUUUACUGGACAAGGAGAGACACAGUCCAUGAAGCAGUUGUCUGGGGGUCAAAAGACUGUAGUUGCUCUUACACUUAUCUUUGCCAUACAACGAUGUGAUCCUGCUCCGUUUUAUCUAUUUGAUGAGAUUGAUGCGGCUCUGGAUCCACAAUACAGAACUGCUGUUGGAAGUAUCCUUUUAUUACUCUUGCUAUCUUAUUUUCAUGGCAAUUAACUGGUUGUGAUUCCUUCAGUCACUUGUAUUGCAUCUGUGGUUCGAUAAAAUUUUAUAGUGCUUAUAUAAUAGUCAUCUUGUUACCAUCUCCUCUAAAUAUACUAAAGCUGUUACUUGCAUGGUUCUUUGACAGCUAAAAAGACUUAUCCUACUAGGGUUCAUCUCAAAAGGCCAGGCAAAUACCUUCAUGUUUGUUUUCUCUCGUAAGUAUUGCUGUCAAACGUACCUAAGCACCAAGAUACAGGUUAAGUUCUUGCAUUAGUGCUUCUAGUAGAGGGAAAUGCAGGUACAUAUACAUUAAAAUUUACAGUUUUACAUGAGAAAUACAAUUUCAAGUGAAUUUCAAAGGGCAGUGCUUCAUCUUUCAUUUGGAGAAGUCUAUUUUAGCCUUGGUCUUGGUGCAUUGGUGAGGCUUUAUUACUUCGUAAAUUACAUUUUUUGUUUCAAUAUAUAUAUAUUUUUUUAUUCAAGAUAUAUAAUAUAAAGUUCAAAUUUAUCCAUGCUUGCAAUCAAUGUGCUUUGGAGGAGGCAGUUGGGAAAUGUUUAGAUUCAGAUAUGGGCUUUUGGUGAUAUUUAAAUUUAACAAUUAUUAUGCUUUCCUUAUUGACUGAUAUCAAGAUUCCAU